rnacentral:pre_miRNA from 1 species
UUUAAUCGCAGUCAUGAGUUUUCGUAUUCAAUUUUUAUUUAUUAUCCAUAUUAUUUAAAAGUAUUUUAUGAUUAAUAUUUUUAUUGUUAUUAGAUGAUAAAACAUGAAUAUUACUUUAUGUGCGACUUAUGUUUUUUAUUUUUUUUUAAAAAAAAGUUUAAAUAAGACGGUCGAAUAAAGUUAGACAUGGAAACUGAUUGAUGCAUUUAAA